AUGGUGACAUCAAGCACAUGUAAUCUAUGUGGAUGUGCCGAUUCAUGGCGCCACUCACUUUUGGACUGUACAGUGGCCAGAUGUACGUGGGCAUUAUCGGAUGCAAAUGUGGCUGAACAUAUGAUUUUAUGCAGUGAUCCCUAGGCGAAAGAGUGGAUGUUCUUCAUGUAUGAUUCCUUGUCGCACGAUGAAUUUACGAGGAUGAUUGUCACAUUGUGGGCCAUCUGGACGGCGAGGCGAAAGGAGAGGGUGCAGCCAUCAUCAAUCCGACACACUAGAAGGAGCUGGAUUCCUCCCUCUUCGAAUCAUGCAAAGAUCAAUGUUGAUGGUGCUUUCUCGCGGAAUGGUAGUGUUGGAGCGGCAACAGCUUUCUGCAGGAACGAAUACGGAGAUUACUUGGGGGCAUCGGUCUUGGUGGUGCCUAAUAUGACUGAUCCGACUGCUCUGGAAGCACUGGCUUGCCGAGAAGGUCUGUCCCUAGCCGCAGAUCUUAAUCUCUCAAAUAUCCAUUUGGCCACUGAUUGCCAGGGACUGGUGGAAGAAAUCAAGAAUGGAUCCAGUGCAUUCCAUGGUGCGAUCAUUCAGGAAAUUCAAACUAGGAUGAUACCUUUUACAAGUUGCUUUUUGUCCUUUGAAAGUAGAAGUUGUAAUUAUGAGGCACAUAGCCUCGCAAAGCACGCCUCUUCUCUAGGAGCUGGUAGACAUAUUUGGUUCGAUCUUCUCUAUGAUCCAGUCAAUAUUCCUGUAAACAUUUUGCAACAGAGUUAA
rnacentral:rRNA from 1 species